rnacentral:rRNA from 1 species
GAUGAACGCUGGCGGCGUGCCUAAUACAUGCAAGUCGAGCGAACAGAUGAGGAGCUUGCUCCUCUGACGUUAGCGGCGGACGGGUGAGUAACACGUGGAUAACCUACCUAUAAGACUGGGAUAACUUCGGGAAACCGGAGCUAAUACCGGAUAAUAUAUUGAACCGCAUGGUUCAAUAGUGAAAGACGGUUUUGCUGUCACUUAUAGAUGGAUCCGCGCCGCAUUAGCUAGUUGGUAUGGUAACGGCUUACCAAGGCAACGAUGCGUAGCCGACCUGAGAGGGUGAUCGGCCACACUGGAACUGAGACACGGUCCAGACUCCUACGGGAGGCAGCAGUAGGGAAUCUUCCGCAAUGGGUGAAAGCCUGACGGAGCAACGCCGCGUGAGUGAUGAAGGUCUUCGGAUCGUAAAACUCUGUUAUUAGGGAAGAACAAAUGUGUAAGUAACUAUGCACGUCUUGACGGUACCUAAUCAGAAAGCCACGGCUAACUACGUG